AUUAUGCUAAGAAACACUGGAUAUUGGUCUAUAAUAGACUAUUGAAUGGGGAAACCAGCAUGUACUAUUUGCACAUGGUCAUGGAUAACUAUUCUUCGUGACGAUAUCCGGGACCGGAGGUCGGUUUUUAAAACGCUUGAAUGAUUCAGAUGAAUGAUGCAAAUUGAAGACGCCGGUAGCCAAUUGCAACUGACAACAACUUAAACAAGUACUUGUUUCUGUUUAUUUAACGAGACAAACACAAUCAAGGAGUUAUGAACGCAUAGAAACUCGAGGAAAUAAAACAGAAUUAACUCCUCAGAUGUCAGUGGAAUGGAAGUAAUACACAUCAUAUGUUUCAAUGAAAUUAAUAUGAUUAAUGAUGGGAUAAGACGUAGAGGAGAUCCUAUAUCUACAAUACAUGUAUAUGUAAUUGCAAAUGUAUUCCAAGAGUUUAUGGCUGAUUAUGCAACUACAGGAUUUUAUCAUGGAAGCAACAUCUUAGAAGGAUAAGUGCAAAUGUAUGAAGGAAGCCUUGUGUAUAAAUACAUGUAGCAAUUACAUAUGCAGGAGAGAACACUUGAACAUUACUAACAUGUAGUCAUGAUAUGGGCGUGGUGCAUUCUAGAAAUCUAAACACCAGGAAUUAAAUAUUGUAUAUAUUUUUUUUCAACUACAAGUACUUUCAGUAUAUCAUACAAUUCUAAUUCAAAUUAUUGUGUCAACAUGACAGUUACUGUCUAAAAAUGGAAAAUGCUUGUUUUAAAAUGAAUUUUUUAUAAAUAUAUAAAUAACAAGAA